rnacentral:rRNA from 1 species
GACGUAGGGCGCGAGCGUUGUCCGGAUUUAUUGGGCGUAAAGAGCUCGUAGGCGGCUUGUCGCGUCGUCUGUGAAAUCCCGCGGCUCAACCGCGGGUCUGCAGUCGAUACGGGCAGGCUAGAGUUCGGUAGGGGAGACUGGAAUUCCUGGUGUAGCGGUGAAAUGCGCAGAUAUCAGGAGGAACACCAGUGGCGAAGGCGGCUCACUGGCCCGGUACUGACGCUGAGGCGCGAAAGCGUGGGGAGCAAACAGG